AACAGAAUUUUAUGAGGAUUGUACGGGUCAGGAAGGGUGUCACGGCCAUUGCCACUUCUGUUUGCUGGAGCUUUUUUAUUAAACUUAGACAGAAUGUAGCCACAGAUGGAAAUUGUGACGGCCCAGCAUUUUUUUGAAGCCAUUUGCAUCCAUAUAAAAAAGAAAAAACAAACCAAAAAAUAAGACGGGAUCUUGCUCUGCCUCCCAGGCUUGAGUACAGUGGUGUCAUCUUGGCUCACAGCAACCUCCGCCUCCUGGGUUCCAGUGAUUCUCCUGCCUCAGCCUCUCGAGUAGCCGAGAUUAUAGGUGCCUGCUACAGGGGCCUGGCUAAUUUUUUUUGUAUUUUUAAUGGAGAUGGGGUUUCACCCUGUUGACCAGGCUGGUGUCGAACUCCUGAACUCAAGUGAUUGGCCUGCCUCAGCCUCCCAAAGUGCUGAGAUUACAGGAGUGAGCCACCAUGUCUGGCCCAAAGUUGACUUUCAAUAAUGCCACUGACAUACCUAUUGGCUGGUAUAAAUAGAUUUCAUUAAUAAGAAACAAUUCAGACCAAAUGUAAAUUGUCAUGUGGAAAACCAGAUAUUGGUGCAUGUAUGAUCUUAUUCAGGAAUAAGUCUUUCAACUCUAUCUGAAGAAAAGUAUUAUAUAACAGCAACACCUUGUCCAAUUGAAAGUAUUUUCCUGGCUAGGUGCGGUGACUCACACUUGCAAUCCCAGAACUUUGGGAGACAGAGAUGGGCGGAACACCUGAGGUCAGGAGUUCAAGACCAGCCUCACCAACAUGGAGAAACCCCGUCUCUAAAAAAUAAAUAAAUAAAAUAAAUAAAAAAGUAUUUUCUUUCAAAUAAA